rnacentral:rRNA from 1 species
GAUGAACGCUGGCGGCGUGCCUAAUACAUGCAAGUCGAGCGAACAGACGAGGAGCUUGCUCCUCUGACGUUAGCGGCGGACGGGUGAGUAACACGUGGAUAACCUACCUAUAAGACUGGGAUAACUUCGGGAAACCGGAGCUAAUACCGGAUAAUAUAUUGAACCGCAUGGUUCAAUAGUGAAAGACGGUUUUGCUGUCACUUAUAGAUGGAUCCGCGCCGCAUUAGCUAGUUGGUAAGGUAACGGCUUACCAAGGCAACGAUGCGUAGCCGACCUGAGAGGGUGAUCGGCCACACGGGAACUGAGACACGGUCCAGACUCCUACGGGAGGCAGCAGUAGGGAAUCUUCCGAAAUGGGCGAAAGCCUGACGGAGCAACGCCGCGUGGGUGAUGAAGGUCUUCGGAUCGUAAAACUCUGUUAUUAGGGAGAACAAAUGUGUAAGUAACUAUGCACGUCUUGACGGUACCUAAUCAGAAAGCCACGGCUAACUACGUG